rnacentral:tRNA from 2 species
UUCCUGUAGUUGAAUUACAACGGUGUUUCUUCAAGUCACUGGUCUCGGUUAAAGUCUGAGUGGGAAUU